rnacentral:rRNA from 1 species
GACGAAUGCUGGCGGCGUGCCUAACACAUGCAAGUCGAACGGAACUGUUUUGAAAGAUUUCUUCGGAAUGAAUUUGAUUUAGUUUAGUGGCGGACGGGUGAGUAACGCGUGAGUAACCUGCCUUCAAGAGGGGAAUAACAUUCUGAAAAGAAUGCUAAUACCGCAUGACAUAUCGGAACCACAUGGUUUUGAUAUCAAAGAUUUUAUCGCUUGAAGAUGGACUCGCGUCCGAUUAGUUAGUUGGUGAGGUAACGGCUCACCAAGACCGCGAUCGGUAGCCGGACUGAGAGGUUGAACGGCCACAUUGGGACUGAGACACGGCCCAGACUCCUACGGGAGGCAGCAGUGGGGGAUAUUGCGCAAUGGGGGCAACCCUGACGCAGCAACGCCGCGUGAAGGAUGAAGGUUUUCGGAUUGUAAACUUCUUUUAUUAAGGACGAAAAAUGACGGUACUUAAUGAAUAAGCUCCGGCUAACUACGUG